rnacentral:lncRNA from 1 species
UAACCAUGAAAUUACCAUACUAUUACACCUGUCCCAUAAUCUCUGUUGAGCAGCAUUAGUAGCUGGUCGAGGACAAGUUCCAUCUAUAAAGCCAAUUUUAUUUUUAGCAGUCAAAGCAACAACCAUUUUUCUUCUCCAUCCCCCAAAACCAUCACCUGAGAAGGGUGUGGGGACGAGAGAUACCCCGGGAACAUCGGAGGAGUAUAGAAAUAAGGGACUUGAAGAGUCCAAAAGACCAGUGUU